rnacentral:tRNA from 1 species
GGAAUAUAGCUCAGUUGGUAGAGUGCUUACCUUGCAUGUAUCAAGGCCCUGGGUUCAAUUCCCAGCACCA